UACGAACCGUCCAAACGUUAUUCGGAAUCACUGGGCUUACAGAGUUCGUAGGCGGUCUGGAAAGUUGGGUGUGAAAUCCCUCGGCUCAACCGAGGAACUGCGCUUGAAACUACCAGACUCGAGGGAGAUAGAGGAAAGCGGAACUGAUGGUGGAGCGGUGAAAUGCGUUGAUAUCAUCAGGAACACCGGUGGCGAAGGCGGCUCACUGGACCGGCAUUGACGCUGAGGUGCGAAAGCGUGGGGAGCAAACAGG
rnacentral:rRNA from 1 species